GUGAGGAAUAUUGCGCAAUGGAGGCAACUCUGACGCAGCCAUGCCGCGUGCAGGAAGAAGGCGCUACGCGUUGUAAACUGCUUUUAACCGGGAAGAAACCCCAGGACGUGUCCUGGGUUGACGGUACCGGAGGAAUAAGCACCGGCUAACUUCGUGCCAGCAGCCGCGGUAAUACGAUGGGUGCAAGCGUUAUCCGGAUUCAUUGGGUUUAAAGGGUGCGUAGGCGGAGCGUUAAGUCAGUGGUGAAAUCCUGCAGCUUAACUGUAGACUUGCCAUUGAUACUGGCGCUCUUGAGUGCGCUUGAAGUGGGCGGAAUGUGCCGUGUAGCGGUGAAAUGCUUAGAUAUGGCACAGAACACCAAUUGCGAAGGCAGCUCACUAAGGCGAUACUGACGCUGAGGCACGAAAGCGUGGGGAUCGAACAGGAUUAGAAACCCGUGUAGUCC
rnacentral:rRNA from 1 species